rnacentral:misc_RNA from 1 species
CGAAAUGCGAUAAGUAAUGUGAAUUGCAGAAUUCAGUGAAUCAUCGAAUCUUUGAACGCACAUUGCGCCCGCCAGUAUUCUGGCGGGCAUGCCUGUCCGAGCGUCAUUUCAACCAUCAAGCCCCCGGGCUUGUGUUGGGGACCUGCGGCUGCCCGCAGGCCCUGAAAACCAGUGGCGGGCUCGCUGUCACACCGAGCGUAGUAGCAAUCACCUCGCUCAGGGCGUGCUGCGGGUUCCGGCCGUUAAACAGCCUUACAAAACCCAAGGUUGACCUCGGAUCAGGUAGGAAGACCCGCUGAACUUAAGCA